rnacentral:rRNA from 1 species
AGUGAACGCUGGCGGUAGGCCUAACACAUGCAAGUCGAACGGCAGCACAGUAAGAUCUUGCUCUUACGGGUGGCGAGUGGCGGACGGGUGAGGAAUACAUCGGAAUCUACUUUUUCGUGGGGGAUAACGUAGGGAAACUUACGCUAAUACCUCAUACGACCUACGGGUGAAAUCAGGGGAUCUUCGGACCUUGCGCGAUUGAAUGAGCCGAUGUCGGAUUAGCUAGUUGGCGGGGUAAAGGCCCACCAAGGCGACGAUCCGUAGCUGGUCUGAGAGGGUGAUCAGCCACACUGGAACUGAGACACGGUCCAGACUCCUACGGGAGGCAGCAGUGGGGAAUAUUGGACAAUGGGCGCAAGCCUGAUCCAGCCAUACCGCGUGGGUGAAGAAGGCCUUCGGGUUGUAAAGCCCUUUUGUUGGGAAAGAAAAGCAGCAGGUUAAUACCCCGCUGUUCUGACGGUACCCAAAGAAUAAGCACCGGCUAACUUCGUG